rnacentral:lncRNA from 1 species
CUUACUACGAGCGAAUGGUAUCAUCGAUUUUGUACAUAUUUUUUUAUUUUUCCGAUGAACCUUAAAAGUUCUUCGAUGAAACAGACUUUAUAAAGCGAAAGUCAUUUUAUGUGAGUAAACUUGGAAGGCUACAAGCUUGAAAUAGAGGACAAAAGUUCACAAUUUUCAAUUUUACAAAGUUGGAACGGGCCGCAACCUUUGUAAAUCGCAAAAAUAAUAUUCGCAAACUGCUGUUUAUUUGGGUGCUUUUUUUACGGCUGUUGAUGCAAAUAAUCCUGUUACGGAUAGGUGGUCAAAAGAACAUGGUGUAGCCUAACAAGACCGAAAUACAACCACAGUGAUCACCAUUCAUCACUACCUGUGUGAAAUUUAAACUUGCCGCUAGGUGUCAGGCUUUUAAAUCUGUAAUAUUUCAGUCAUUUUAUGAUCAAUGUAUUGUGUUUCUAACGCCGAACGGGAAAAUGUUGGAGCCACAGUAAUAGACUCUUUCAAGGUCAAGAUGCCAUAAUGAAACACAAAGUGUGAGGGCUGCAAACACAAUGGAAAUUCGUACUAGUAAAUUUGCAAGGUUGUAUAAACACAAUGGUGAAAACAAUGUAUUGAAAUUAAGUGUGUGUGGGGGGGUCAAUGCAACUCAAUGGGUUAUUAAAAGUAACUAGCGUGUCAGGCUCUAUGCUUGAAAUAAAGCCUGCUACUGAGGUCAGUAAAAAGGAUUGAUGCAC